AAUAGAUACCCGGGUAGUCCACGCCGUAAACGAUGAGUGCUAAGUGUUAGAGGGUUUCCGCCCUUUAGUGCUGCAGCUAACGCAUUAAGCACUCCGCCUGGGGAGUACGGUCGCAAGACUGAAACUCAAAGGAAUUGACGGGGGCCCGCACAAGCGGUGGAGCAUGUGGUUUAAUUCGAAGCAACGCGAAGAACCUUACCAGGUCUUGACAUCCCACUGACCGGUAUAGAGAUAUACCUUUCCCUUCGGGGACAGUGGUGACAGGUGGUGCAUGGUUGUCGUCAGCUCGUGUCGUGAGAUGUUGGGUUAAGUCCCGCAACGAACGCAACCCUUGAUCUUAGUUGCCAGCAUUUAGUUGGGCACUCUAAGGUGACUGCCGGUGACAAACCGGAGGAAGGUGGGGAUGACGUCAAAUCAUCAUGCCCCUUAUGACCUGGGCUACACACGUGCUACAAUGGAUGGUACAAAGGGCUGCAAGACUGCGAAGUCAAGCCAAUCCCAUAAAACCAUUCUCAGUUCGGAUUGCAGGCUG
rnacentral:rRNA from 1 species